GGGGGGGGUUUGUUAGAUUAGGUCAAAUUAAAAACUAGAUUGAAACACUUUUGAAAAGCCCGACAAGAGACACUGACGAUUCGCUGUGGCUAAUUUUAUCACUUUCUUGAAAUCGUAACUUUUGCACACACGCUCAAGAAAUUAAAAUGAAAGAGAAAGCAAAUAAUUGUUUUUAUGAUUCAAUGACUAUUUUGACUUCAAGAAGCAGUAAAAUUACAAUGACUUAAUUAAAGUGGAGGCUAGCGAUUCUUGUUCAACCACUCAGCAGUUGCAAUACACAGUUGCUUAUAAAUGCGCAAUUUCAACUUUAAAUAUCAAAUUCGUUCCAUGUGACUGUCCCCCCAUAGCGUAUCAUUUCGAUAAUCUGCUUCCAUCCCUAUAGAUAUAACUAUGCCUCAAAGUAUGAACGCUGUGCUAUCAAAGAAGGUAAAUUGAUAAAGCACGGACCAUGAGUGACAAAAAGGUGCUGCGCACCCAAGAUAACGGGAGCUAACUCCCAAAGUCGCUUAAAGUCAAUACUGUAGGAUAGAUUUGUGAGAUAAACCAGCAAAGGUAUCUACUUUUUAUUGCCGGUUCCGAUUUAAGUGCGAUGGAUUUGGGUACCAUGUGUUUGGAGAGGUUUUGAACAGGUUUGAUGUUGAAGGUUUCAAAACGUUUGAACUUUGUUUAAGGAAUUGGAUCAUGCUGUAGCAGUAGACUUGGUUGAAAGUAAAAACAUGUUAAAAGACUAGUUAGUUUUAAAAAGCAAAAAUCAGUUAUGUCAUUUCUAUGAAAUUGUCGUCUCAGGUUGAAAACGAUAAAAGUAGUUGUGCAUGCAUAAAAAAAGACAAU